rnacentral:lncRNA from 1 species
AAACACGAGGAAACCUAAGAUACACACUAACUUCAGUAAAGCUGCUGUGUAAAUGGCAUUUAAAAUCACUGUUAUCACCACUGACAGAGAUGACGUCAGCUCUUUGCCACCUGAGUAAAUAAAUAUUUAUAAGGUGCUGUAAGUCUGAAGAAUGUCACACUGCUCCAAUAGACUUCAUUUUCAGGCAAGAGUGAAAUAGGCAACCACAAGAACCCCGUCACCACAUUUGAUGGGUUGUCCAUUCUCUUCUCUAAUACAGCAGCACUGGGUUCAAUACCGAGGGCAAACCACGCAACCAAACCGUCCUCCUCUUCCUCUGGGACUCCUCCCGCCUGGGCGGGUGAGCCUUUCCUCAUCUCAAGCUCGACUCCAAGGAACACCAAGAAACUGGACCACAUCGGGAUGCCCGUUCCUGGAGGCAUACAUUAAAGCAGUCCAUCCAUUUUCAGAAGUCUCAUUGACAAGAGAUGGAGAAUGACUGAGUAUUCCUGCUACCUUGGCGAGAUUUCCUUCUGCGGCUGAACUGUGGAGUUCAGAAAUCAUCUCCCUUUUGGGAUUUCUUUUAACAGAAGACAUUUCUUCCUUAAAAAAAAAAGAGAGAGAGAGAGAGAAGUGAGAAAGACCUUAUUGACAAUUGCUCUUCGCUUGAAUGGAUGAACAUUAUUUAGAUGCUGAUCUUGGAAAGGCAGCAUGUUUCCAAACCAGUACACCUGUCAAAAGAUAAUUCAUAGUCAACUGCUACUGCAGUACAGAAGGGGGACCGAGCCGGGGCACAGAGUGGAGGGGGUUAAAGCAGAGAGAAUUAGAGGCCGACGCUUAUGGAGAUGUACUUGCAGGUUCAACCCAGAGCCUUGUCUCCUGGAUUUUGAAACAGCAAUGUGGCUAGUCAAAUCCACAGCCUAGUCUGCAUAAAGUUCAGGAAAACAACGGGUCCAAGAUUAACUUUC